GAGCGGUAGCACAGAGAGCUUGCUCUCGGGUGACGAGCGGCGGACGGGUGAGUAAUGUCUGGGAAACUGCCUGAUGGAGGGGGAUAACUACUGGAAACGGUAGCUAAUACCGCAUAACGUCGCAAGACCAAAGUGGGGGACCUUCGGGCCUCAUGCCAUCAGAUGUGCCCAGAUGGGAUUAGCUAGUAGGUGGGGUAACGGCUCACCUAGGCGACGAUCCCUAGCUGGUCUGAGAGGAUGACCAGCCACACUGGAACUGAGACACGUUCCAGUCUCCUACGGGAGGCAGCAGUGGGGAAUAUUGCACAAUGGGCGCAAGCCUGAUGCAGCCAUGCCGCGUGUGUGAAGAAGGCCUUCGGGUUGUAAAGCACUUUCAGCCGGGAGGAAGGCGUUAAGGUUAAUAACCUUGGCGAUUGACGUUACCCGCAGAAGAAGCACCGGCUAACUCCGUGCCAGCAGCCGCGGUAAUACGGAGGGUGCAAGCGUUAAUCGGAUUUACUGGGCGUAAAGCGCACGCAGGCGGUCUGUCAAGUCGGAUGUGAAAUCCCGGGGCUCAACCUGGGAACUGCAUUCGAAACUGCCAGGCUAGAGUCUUGUAGAGGGGGGUAGAAUUCCAGGUGUAGCGGUGAAAUGCGUAGAGAUCUGGAGGAAUACCGGUGGCGAAGGCGGGCCCCUGGACAAAGACUGACGCUCAGGUGCGAAAGCGUGGGGAGCAAACAGGUUUAGAUACCCUGGUAGUCCACGCCGUAAACGAUGUCGAAUUGGAGGUUGUGGCCUUGAGGCGUGGCUUCCGGAGCUAACGCGUUAAAUCGACCGCCUGGGGAGUACGGCCGCAAGGUUAAAACUCAAAUGAAUUGACGGGGGCCCGCACAAGCGGUGGAGCAUGUGGUUUAAUUCGAUGCAACGCGAAGAACCUUACCUGGUCUUGACAUCCACAGAACUUUCCAGAGAUGGAUUGGUGCCU
rnacentral:rRNA from 1 species